ensembl:misc_RNA Y_RNA Y RNA
GGCUGGUCUGAGGGCAGUAGUGUUUACGACUGAUAACAACCAGUACAGAUUUCUUUGUUCCUUCUCCAUUCCUGCUGCUUCAUUUGACUAGCCUGCC